AUUAUUUUGUAUCCAGAGCUUGUGGUGACAACACUUAUAACAUGGAUUGUAGAAUUUUCGCGUGGUAGUCAAAGGAAUACCAUGUGACCCCCGGCAUCGCCUGGAAGCAUGGUGGACUGGUCAGCCUGAUGCAGAUGGGACGACAUAAAUAUGCACUAUAACGGAAUUAUUCACUAAUGGGUUACAUAAUUUUUCGGAUCAUGUAAUUGUCUAAACGCCUUAACGCAUAUUUAUGUAUUUUAUUAUACACAAAAUAUAACUUAUCUUACAAAUAA